rnacentral:rRNA from 1 species
GACGAACGCUGGCGGCGUGCUUAACACAUGCAAGUCGAACGGAAAGGCCUUUUCGGAGGUACUCGAGUGGCGAACGGGUGAGUAACACGUGGGUGAUCUGCCCUGCACUCUGGGAUAAGCCUGGGAAACUGGGUCUAAUACCGGAUAGGACCGCACUUUAGUGUGUGUGGUGGAAAGUUUUUUCGGUGUAGGAUGAGCCCGCGGCCUAUCAGCUUGUUGGUGGGGUAAUGGCCUACCAAGGCGGCGACGGGUAGCCGGACUGGGAGGUUGGUCGGCCACAUUGGGACUGAGAUACGGCCCAGACUCCUACGGGAGGCAGCAGUGGGGAAUAUUGCACAAUGGGCGCAAGCCUGAUGCAGCGACGCCGCGUGGGGGAUGACGGCCUUCGGGUUGUAAACUCCUUUCGCCAGGGACGAAGCGUUUUGUGACGGUACCUGGAGAAGAAGCACCGGCUAACUACGUG